rnacentral:lncRNA from 1 species
AAAUCUUUAUGUAUAAGUUCUUUUGGUGGAUUCUUCAUUCCCUUAGACAUGAGUUCUCUUAAAUCCCUUACACAUUUAAAGAUUUCAAGUUGUGAAAACCUUACAUGUCUUCCAAACAACAUGGGUUCUCUUAAAUCCCUUACACAUUUAGAGAUUCAAUUUUGUAAAAACCUUAAAUGUCUUCCAAACAACAUGGGUUCUCUUAAAUCCCUUACACAUUUAGAGAUUUCAUAUUGUGAAAACCUCACAUGUCUUCCAAACAACUUGGGUU